AACGAACGCUGGCGGCAUGCCUAACACAUGCAAGUCGAACGAGACCUUCGGGUCUAGUGGCGCACGGGUGCGUAACGCGUGGGAACCUGCCCUUAGGUUCGGAAUAAUUCCCCGAAAGGGGUGCUAAUACCGGAUAAUGUCUUCGGACCAAAGAUUUAUCGCCUUUGGAUGGGCCCGCGUUGGUUUAGCUAGUUGGUAGGGUAAAAGCCUACCAAGGCGAGGAUCCAUAGCUGGUAUGAGAGGAUGCGCAGCCACACUGGGACUGAGACACGGCCCAGACUCCUACGGGAGGCAGCAGUGGGUAAUAUUGGACUAUGGGCGAAAGCCUGAUCCAGCAAUGCCGCGUGAGUGAUGAAGGCCUUAGAGUUGUGAAGCUCUUUUACCCGGGAUUAUAAUGACAGUACCGAGAGAAUAAGCACCGGCUAACUCCGUG
rnacentral:rRNA from 1 species